UGAGGAACAUGACCUUCGGCGGGGGAUAGCCGGCCCAACGGCCGGGUAAUACCGCGUACGACCACAUGGGGACAUCCCUGAGUGGUGAAAGCAGCAAUGCGCCGAUGGAGUGCCUCGCGGCCUAUCAGCUAGUUGGUGAGGUAACGGCUCACCAAGGCGACGACGGGUANCUGGUCUGAGAGGAUGGCCAGCCACACUGGAACUGAGAUACGGUCCAGACCUNUACCGGGAG
rnacentral:rRNA from 1 species